rnacentral:sRNA from 1 species
AACGUAUCGGAAGGAGGUGAUCCAGUGUCUCAUUGUCAUUUGCUGCGGGCCCGGACCUGGACUCGCGCCAGUGAGGUUUUCGCCUCCUAGGCGUCAGGUUCGCGGAAACGCGGUCCGACAAUGGAAGGGUCGUCCGGGAAGGGCGGCCC